rnacentral:lncRNA from 1 species
GGUUUCAUCAUGUAGCCAUGAAUUAAGUCCAUCUUGGUCUAGUUAAAGACAUGGACCCAUUCAACUACAACUAUUGGAGUUGAGUCUAGAGUGUCCUUGACCUAAUCUAAUUCAACUUUUGAUUAGAUUUGAUCAAUUACUCUAAUUUAAUCCAUUUCUUUAAGCUAACCUUAGGUCUAACCCAAUUAUGGAUCUAAUCCAUCUAACCCAUUGAC